rnacentral:rRNA from 1 species
ACUCAAAGGAAUAGACGGGGACCCGCACAAGCGGUGGAGCAUGUGGUUUAAUUCGAAGCAACGCGAAGAACCUUACCAAGGCUUGACAUCCCACUGAAGUACUCGUAAUGGAGUAGUUCCUUCGGGACAGUGGAGACAGGUGGUGCAUGGUUGUCGUCAGCUCGUGUCGUGAGAUGUUGGGUUAAGUCCCGCAACGAGCGCAACCCUUAUCUUUAGUAACCAGCACGUAAAGGUGGGGACUCUAGAGAGACUGCCGGGGUGAACCCGGAGGAAGGUGGGGAUGACGUCAAAUCAUCAUGCCCCUUAUGUCUUGGGCAACACACGUGCUACAAUGGCUGCGACAGAGGGAAGCAAAGGGGUGACCUGAAGCAAACCCCAAAAAAGCAGUCCCAGUUCGGAUUGUAGUCUGCAACUCGACUACAUGAAGUCGGAAUCGCUAGUAAUCGCGAAUCAGCAUGUCGCGGUGAAUACGUUCCCGGGUCUUGUACACACCGCCCGU